UCAUGAUGAACAGCAAGCGCUACAAAGAGGCACAGAAGAUCUCUGAUGACCUGAUGCAGAAGAUCAGUACGCAGAACCGCCGGGCCCUAGACCUUGUAGCCGCAAAGUGUUACUAUUAUCACGCCCGGGUCUAUGAGUUCCUGGACAAGCUGGAUGUGGUGCGCAGCUUCUUGCAUGCUCGGCUCCGGACAGCUACGCUUCGGCAUGACGCAGACGGGCAGGCCACCCUGUUGAACCUCCUGCUGCGGAAUUACCUACAUUACAGCUUGUACGACCAGGCUGAGAAGCUGGUGUCCAAGUCUGUGUUCCCAGAGCAGGCCAACAACAAUGAGUGGGCCAGGUACCUCUACUACACAGGUGAGCAGAGGGGCCCAACCCACAAAUCAGAAGGUGUCUCAGGCCUACCUGGUGCAAAUUUUCCAAGGGGUGGUGCAUAAGAGGCCCAUUUGGCACCCUGGCUUGUCGGUGGGGGGUUGGAUGACCCCACUCUGUUGACCAACUCUCCUCUCCUCCACUCCCAGGGCGAAUCAAAGCCAUCCAGCUGGAGUACUCAGAGGCCCGGAGAACAAUGACCAACGCC
rnacentral:sRNA from 1 species